rnacentral:tRNA from 3 species
AAGGCUUUAUGUUAAUAAAACAAGUAGCCUUCAAAGUUACCAAUAAAAGUUGAUUCUUUUAAGCCUUA